AGUGGCGGACGGGUGAGUAACGCGUGGAUANCCUGCCGUAUACCGGGGGAUAACACUUAGAAAUAGGUGCUAAUACCGCAUAAGCGCACGGCUCCGCAUGGGGCAGUGUGAAAAACUCCGGUGGUAUACGAUGGAUCCGCGUCUGAUUAGCUAGUUGGCGGGGUAACGGCCCACCAAGGCAGCGAUCAGUAGCCGGCCUGAGAGGGUGGACGGCCACAUUGGGACUGAGACACGGCCCAAACUCCUACGGGAGGCAGCAGUGGGGAAUAUUGCACAAUGGGGGAAACCCUGAUGCAGCGACGCCGCGUGAGUGAAGAAGUAUCUCGGUACGUAAAGCUCUAUCAGCAGGGAAGAAAAUGACGGUACCUGACUAAGAAGCCCCGGCUAACUACGUGCCAGCAGCCGCGGUAAUACGUAGGGGGCAAGCGUUAUCCGGAUUUACUGGGUGUAAAGGGAGCGUAGACGGCAGCACAAGUCUGGAGUGAAAUCCCGGGGCUUAACCCCGGAACUGCUUUGGAAACUGUGCGGCUGGAGUGCAGGAGGGGUAAGCGGAAUUCCUAGUGUAGCGGUGAAAUGCGUAGAUAUUAGGAGGAACACCGGUGGCGAAGGCGGCUUACUGGACUGUAACUGACGUUGAGGCUCGAAAGCGUGGGGAGCAAACAGGAUUAGAUACCCUGGUA
rnacentral:rRNA from 1 species